AUGAAGAAGGCCUUCGGGUUGUAAAGUACUUUCAGCGGGGAGGAAGGUGUUGUGGUUAAUAACCGCAGCAAUUGACGUUACCCGCAGAAGAAGCACCGGCUAACUCCGUGCCAGCAGCCGCGGUAAUUCCGCUUAACAGCAGUUGUCC
rnacentral:rRNA from 1 species